CGUGAGAUGUUGGGUUAAGUCCCGCAACGAGCGCAACCCUUGCCAUUAGUUGCCAGCAUUAAGUUGGGCACUCUAAUGGGACCGCUUGCCGAUAAGGCAGAGGAAGGUGGGGAUGACGUCAAGUCCGCAUGGCCCUUACGCCCAGGGCUACACACGUACUACAAUGGCGGUACAGAGCGAUGCUAAGCCGCGAGGUAGAGCUAAUCGCACAAAGCCGGUCCCAGUUCGGAUAGGAGUCUGCAACUCGACUCCU
rnacentral:rRNA from 1 species